UUGCUGUGAUGACUGUAAAGAUCAUUGAUGGCAUUCAUAGGAUGCUUCAUGAGAUUUUGACUGUCAUGUCAAGCCUGAGCGGUUACCUGAGCAA